CCUUCGGGUUGUAAAGCACUUUUAGUGGGAAAGAAAAGCUCAGAGUUAAUAGUUUGAGCCUUGACGUUACCCACAGAAAAAGCACUGGCUAACUACUGUGC
rnacentral:rRNA from 1 species